AUUGAACGCUGGCGGCAGGCUUAACACAUGCAAGUCGAGCGGAGAUGAGGUGCUUGCACCUUAUCUUAGCGGCGGACGGGUGAGUAAUGCUUAGGAAUCUGCCUAUUAGUGGGGGACAACAUUCCGAAAGGAAUGCUAAUACCGCAUAAGACCUACGGGGGACAGCAGGGGAUCUUCGGACCUUGCGCUAAUAGAUGGGCCUACGUCGGAUUAGCUAGUUGGUGGGGUAAAGGCCUACCAAGGCGACGAUCUGUAGCGGGUCUGAGAGGAUGAUCCGCCACACUGGGACUGAGACACGGCCCAGACUCCUACGGGAGGCAGCAGUGGGGAAUAUUGGACAAUGGGCGGAAGCCUGAUCCAGCCAUGCCGCGUGUGUGAAGAAGGCCUUUUGGUUGUAAAGCACUUUAAGCGAGGAGGAGGCUACCUGGAUUAAUACUCUAGGAUAGUGGACGUUACUCGCAGAAUAAGCACCGGCUAACUCUGUGCCAGCCGCCGCGGUAAAAC
rnacentral:rRNA from 1 species